UUCCUAAUGCAGUAGCUAAAAGCUAGAGGUCGCAACUCCUCAUAAAACAUAUGCAGAGCGGGAA
rnacentral:ribozyme from 2 species